rnacentral:rRNA from 1 species
CCCUUAGAUGUUCUGGGCCGCACGCGUGCUACACUGAGUGGAUCAGCGGGUCAGGUUGCGCGAAAGUGUUUCCUAAUCUUUAAAUCCGCUCGUGAUGGGGAUUGACGGUUGCAAUUUUCCGUCAUGAACGAGGAAUACCUUGUAAGCGCGGGUCAUCAUCCCGCGCUGAAUACGUCCCUGCCCUUUGUACACACCGCCCGUCGCUCCUACCGAUUGAGUGGUCCGGUGAGGCUUUGGGAUCUGAGCGGAAAGAGCGUUUCGCUGUUUCUGCUCGGAAAACUCAGUCGAACCUUAUCAUUUAGAGGAGGAGAAGUCGUAACA